UGAUCUAUUUUAAAUGGCCGCAGUACCUUGACUGUGCUAAGGUAGCAUAAUCAAUUGGCUUCUAAUUAAAGUCUAGAAUGAAAGGAAAAAUGGGGUAAUUCUGUCUUAAGGAAUUUUUUUUGAAUUUAUUUAAAUGGUGAAAAUAUCAUUUUUUAGAAAAAAGACGAGAAGACCCUUAGAGUUUUCAAUUUUUUUUUGUUGGGGCGACAAGUAAACAAUUAAACUUUACUAGAGUAAUAAAUCGAUUUUUUAUAAGAAUAAUUAAACUACCUUAGGGAUAACAGCAUUAUAUAUUUUAUGAUUGUGACCUCGAUGUUGGACUAGGAACUUUAUGGCUAGCCGUCAAAAAAG
rnacentral:rRNA from 1 species